GCGCUGACACUUCCCCUCCGCCAUCUUCUGUUGCUGACAGCGGGAGCGCUGAGAGACGGAGAGAAUUAAUCCAUAAACACAGAGACCGCGCUCUGCCCGACCAUGGGGAGAAAGAAGAAGAAGCAGAUGAAGCCGUGGUGCUGGUAUUGCAACAGAGAUUUCGAUGAUGAAAAGAUUCUCAUUCAGCAUCAGAAAGCCAAACAUUUUAAGUGUCACAUUUGCCAUAAGAAGCUCUAUACUGGGCCAGGCCUUGCCAUCCACUGUAUGCAGGUUCACAAAGAAACAAUCGAUGGUGUUCCCAAUGCAAUACCUGGGAGAACGGACAUUGAAUUAGAAAUUUAUGGAAUGGAGGGUAUUCCAGAGAAAGAUAUGGAAGAAAGGAGACGAGUGCUUGAGCAGAAAACACAAGAAAACCAGAAAAAGAAACAGAACCAGGAUGACUCGGAUGAAGAUGACGAUGAUGAAGAGGCAGGACCCUCAUUCCAGCAACCAGCAGCACAACCACAGGCAGCGUACACCCCUAUGACUCAGCCUGGGAUGACCCCAGUGCCGACACCAGGGAUGCCACCUGGGAGCUACUCAGGAAUGCCCCCAAUGAUGCCUGGUGUCCCUCCUAUGAUGCCAGGGAUGCCCCCAGUCAUACCAGGGAUGCCACCAGGAAUGAUGCCAAUGGGUGGGAUGAUGCCACCUGGACCAGGAAUGCCUCCGAUGAUUCCAGGAAUGCCACCAGGCAUGCCUCCUCCAAUGGCCCAUCGUCCAGGCAUGAACCACAUGCCCCAGGCUCCAGCUUCCACAGCUCCAAGCAUGAUGCCCAGAGCAGCCACACCUGCAGCCACAGUAACUGCCCCUCAGCCUGCCAUCACUAAACCCUUAUUCCCCAGUGCAGGACAGAUGGGAACUCGAGCUCCCAGCACAAGCUCAGCCUCCUCCAGUGUGGACACUUUGUCAGCACCCUCUAAACCGCUGUCGCAAGCUCAGCAGGGUGUGUCUGGAGCGGCAGCAGGCCCUUCUGCCUCUUCCUCUGCUGCUCCAAAAGCCACAUUCCCAGCCUACAGCCAGCCAAUAGCCCCUGCUGCCAGUGCAGGCAGCACUGUGGCCAAACCUGCCACCCCUGUCACAAGUAAGCCUGCUACUGUCGCCACCACCAGUGCAACCAGUAAGUUGAUCCACCCUGAUGAGGAUAUCUCUCUGGAGGAGCUGCGUGCUCAGCUCCCGCGCUAUCAGUGUAAAAUUCCCAGUACAGGGCAGGCUCACAUCAGCGCACCCCCAGUCGGGCCAAUGGGGGGUGUGAUGCCCCCUCAGCAGGGCAUUACUUCACAGCAGCCAGGAGUCAGGCAUCCCAUGCAUGGGCCAUAUGGUGCUCCACCACAGGCUGUGCCAGGCUAUGUGCCAGGCGGGAUGCCGGCAUAUGGCCAAGGCCCCCCAAUGGUUCCUCCUUUCCAAGGAGCCCCACCACGACCGCCCAUGGCUAUGAGACCCCCUGUAAUGUCCCAGGGAGGCAGAUAUUGAAGAUCCACCACCAGUCUUCAAUAGGUUUUUAGAACUGAAGUUUAGUAAAUAUGGUUCGUAAUAAUUUGAAGCGGCUGGAGUUGCGUGAACAGUACAGCACCUUUUAUCAAGCGAUGCCAUGGGACCGGCUGAGGUAGAGUCUCACUGGUGCCCUGUACAGGCUGAGGCAAGUCUCAUAUUUUCUCUCUUUAAUUACAUACUUGGGGGCCCUCACAGCCUUUUAUGGCUGUUGGAUUUUAACGUCCCCAAACUUGUAGCAAGUUUGGUGAUGGCCCCUGUUCUCAUUCACUUUAGGGAAGUCUUAUAACUAACCUCUUCUGCGUUUAUUUCCAAAGUUCUGCCCACUUCUGUUUUUUUGGGUCGGCGUGCUUCAUUAGAAGUUCUGUACACACUUUUUUUUUUCUCAGAACUUUCAGGUGUGUUGUUAUUCAGUUUUCAAAUGUACAGUAUUAGCACAAGCAGGUGCAGGGGUGUGACGAGACACUAAUAUCACGAGACGAGAUACGAUACUGGGUUCACGAGAACGAGACGGGACUUAAAAAUAAAAUUUUAAAGAAAGCGUCAAAAAUGAAAAAUGGCUUGAAAACUUUAAGCUUGACGAGAAAUAUCGUCACGUUCUAAUCACAAGAUCUCGUCACACCCCUACAAGCAAGUAUAAAAAUAAUAAUGACGUGACAUUUACUUCAUCUAUGUGGUGCUUAGACCUGCUCUUGUGAUUAAAUAGGUGCCAUAGUGCAUCUCAUUAGUAUAAAGUUUACAGGGAGGGCUGGUAUUCAUAUUGUGGACAUACAGCCAAAUAAAGGUUCUUAAAACUGCUGAGAGUUUCAAGGUUGAGUUUAUUUAGAGAGUUGAAUAUGAGUGAGUAUUAAUGUUUUAGUUAAGCAACAUGUAGCUAGCCAACCCACUCAUUUUAAAUACAGGCUAUUUGGUAAAUUAAAAGUGAUUACUGUUGUCUAUUGGAGAUUUACAUUUCUGUCGUUUUUACCCUCAGCCCAUAUGUAAAACUCCUCAUUAAGUUAAUUGAGCAUUUCUGACGGCAGUAAUCAGAUGGGUUUUUAGUUUGGAAGCUAAAGUCUGCAGAAAAGUCAGGGGAGGUUUAAUAAGGUUUUUUUAGUCUGUGUUUCAUGUUUUUUUUCCCUCUUAUUUGUAAUCUCUACUUUUCUGACCUCAAUUCCUUUACCUGAAGCUAUAAGUACUGGUACUUGUUGUGUUAUGUUUAAUGUUAUUAUAAUGUGAUAUGGGUGAGUGGUUCAUGUAAUGUUACAAUAUUUAAAUGGUUUGAUUAGCACUCAAGACAAUUAUGGUAAGUACACAAAUAACAUUUCUUGUUUUUUUUUUUUUUUUUUUUUUUUUUUGGCUUUUUGUACAGUUGAUUUUUCAGAUUGGUCAUUUAAGUAUAUUUGAAGAGUUUGCUUCCAAAACGCGAUAAACGCCAUUUAAAAAAAAAAAAAGAGUUAGAGCCAGAAUCAGAAUGUUAUGUGACCACUCUUGAAAAGCCAAUAUUCAAUUUUCAUCAAAACGCCACAUCCGCCGUGUAAUACUGCCCUGCCUUCUCUCUUUUUUUCCAAAAUGCAACAAACGCCAGUCUUGAUUUCCCGCAGAACGCCACAUCUCCCCUCAUCCAAUCACAGUGCAGCAUUCUACGAGCUAUGGAAUGUAAACAUCAUAGAACGCGCCCUGUUGGGCGUGCCGGUAUUUCGUGUUGCCUACUUUCACUUUCGUUUUUCACUCUCAAAGUCCGCGAAAAUGAACGGUUUUGAUGGUAUAGAGGAGCCUGUUCGUGAAGCAGCUAUUGGAAAAAAAGAGAAAGCCAUCAAAAGAGUCUCAUGUACAUGAAAAGGUAAAGAAAAUGAGGCAUUCAGGAGCGGGAAAAUACCGGCUGUCAUCUGCAGUACACACACACACACACACGCACAAUACACACAAUACACACUAUACUACACCACACUACACUACACUACAGCACAUGAGUGUAACGUGAUUUUGGGGAUUUUAUAGUCUUAAUGUCUUGUUCGUUAAUUAAUUUUGCACUUUUUUGAAAAGAAAUGUUUUGAAAUUUGUGUUUUUAGGCCCAAUGGUCAAACUAUUAUAUUCAGAUGUACAAUUUACUGUUAUUUAUUAUUGUAUUUUGCAAAUUUUCAGUCAAAAAAAAAUUGAUGCCAAAGGACAUAUAAGACAUUUUGAAAAAAAAAACAUGGCAUGGAUUUAUUGCGUUUUGCGAAAAAACGAAUAAUUUUUAAAACAUAAAUCUUUAAAUAUUAAAAUCUUGAUUUGAUUUUUUUUGUGUUAUUUUAACCUUAGUAUGGUAUUUGAUAGUUUGAAACAGAAAACGGUGGUUUUCAGCCUACCACUUUCUUGCUAAAGAAAACCCUUUUUUACUCAAAUUGAUAUAAAUGCAUUUAUAGCAUUUUGGAACCAAACUCUUCAUUUAUAUACACUAUAUGGACAAAAGUAUUGGGACAUGUUUCUUAAUCAUUGAAUUCAGGUGAUUUGUUCAGUUCUAUUGCCACAAAACAGGUGUAAUAAAUUAAGCACCUACCCAUCCAAUUUAUCCUUACAAACAUUAUUUAAAAAAAAUAAAUAAAUUGGUGCACAAGUACCUUCAUGGCAAAGAUUUCUAUGGUCGAGCAGCUGCAUGCAUAACAUAUUAGCACAAUGCCAAAAGUCAGAUGAAGUGAGUAGUGUAAGCAUAUUUGGGAAACAGACCCUGAGUUCCAGUGAAUUCUUCAGUAUACAUUUUAAACUGCUGUUUGACUCUAAUUUUGUUUAAACAGAUUAGGGAACACCCUUUUCUGUUCCAGUAUGACUGUGCCCCAGUGCACAAGCAGUGUCCGUUAAGACAGUGUUAGAUGAGUCUGGUGUGGAAGAAGAUCGCUGAUCUCAGUAAAAGAACGGAGAUUGUGAGUCAGUGGGUGAAUGGACAAAACUUCCCACAGACAAACUCCAAACUCUUGUAGAAAGAGUUUCCAGAAGAGUAAAAUGGGAUGUCAUAAAAUCUCUGCUAGUCGUCUCAGUACUUUUGUCCAUGUAUUGCUAAGGCAGUAAUGCACAACUAACAGUUUGUUUAGGUUUGUUGAAUGGUGUAAACAGUUUCACUCUACAUUAUUAAACCACUAUCUUGUACACUGAGCUCCAUCUCUGAUAUAGGUGUUGAUGUAUUUCUGCACAGCGUAUCAUCUCACCAACUUUACAUCACAGUAUUACGUACUGUAAGUAUUGACUGCUGGCGAGACAUUGUGAUGACUAGAAAAAAAAGAAAGAUUUGUAACUGUAAAUGCAUCACGGUGAGAGUGUUUGACAUUGACGUCACCUUAAUAAAAACAAAAUAUUAAUUAGUUUUGUUUUUCUGUAAACUGGAUAACAAAAAAUAGAAUUGCCUCUAAGUUUCAGAUUAAGAUAAAGCGAUCAGUCUGUGAUUAAAUUAAUUCUGAAAGUCUACAUAUACUACAAUGAGUCUAACAAAAAAUAUUGCUUUACCCUUUAAAAGAUAACAGCUAUUUUUUCAGUUUUUCUAUUUUCUCAGGGUCAAAACUAAUUAGACAUUUAAUUAUUUAACAGUUUCAAGGUCAAGUAUGGCCUUAUUGUUUAAUAACAAAUUAAGUAGACUAAAGGUCUUCCAAAGGUUGAUUGCAAAUCUUGAAUUGUAUUUGGUAGCUAUUCACAAUAGUAAGGAAGGUAGUUAUUGUUUUUUGAGCCUAAAUAAACAUACCAGGGGCCAAAAAAAAAUGGUUUAAAAUAUAGAUGGAUAACCACCCACAACAUGCACUGAAAGCAACAUCAGAGCUUCUUAUAGUAAAGAAGUGGGUUAUUUUUAAUUGUCUGAGUCAGCAACCUUCCCCCCACCCAACUGAACAGAAAAAACACUAACAAGCAGAAUCUGAAGAUCACUGCAGUAAAGGCCUGUCAGAAUCUCAAGGAGGAAAGUAAUUGGAGAUAAUAAUAGAGAAACUGUGUGCAGUUAAGGCAGUAUUAUACUUAACACACUUUAUUGAAUCUGAAAGUCUGUAAAUAAUUGCUUGUUUUAUUUUACAGCGAUUUAGGUAGUUCUAAUAAUCUAAACUUACUGUCUUUUUUUUAUUGUGACUGUAAAGGGAAGGUUUUCUCAUUUAUAUUUUUUCUAAUUUUACAUUGCCUAAUUGUUUUUAAAUUAAGUAAUGAGUGUGUGAUUGAAGCAUAUGUAGACGCUGAAGGGAUGAUUUUCUCAUGAUUCUGAUGUUUUACAUGGUUCAAAUAUAAAUGUAUUUAGUUUAUAUUGAAUGGAUAGUUGCUGUUGGACAAAACCUUGAAUUCCAAUUGUUUAUUUUUUAACAGUUUGACAUUAUAAAUAUUGAUUACUGGUUUGUGUUGUGUUCGAAAUGUUCCAAAAUUACUUGUAAUAAAAUAUUUUUAUUUUAUCUUUUUAUUUUUGGAUUUCCCUUCCUCCUCUUGUUGCCAUUUUGCAAAAAAUAUUUUUACAUGACUGUAAGCAAAUACAGCUGUUAUUCUAUACUGCUGUUUUUUAUGGCUGAAAAUAUUUAUAAACUUGGUCAGAAAAAGAAGAGAACGCAGAGAAUGAACUUCUGUUUGUAACGGUUAUGAGGUUUCAUGAGUUCAGACUGUCAAUACAGGCUUUUUAAAAUGUGAGGCACCAGGGUUCGCUCAUAAAUGCCUGGUGCCCUCAAACAGUGGACUUCAGCACAUUUUAUGCACUUGUGUAAAAAAAACCCCACACAAUUCAGGAGUCCACAACUUUUGAAUCUGGUCACUGUAUUCUUUCCUGUAUCCUAAAAAUAAAGCUGCUACAAAG